rnacentral:rRNA from 1 species
UACGUAGGGUCCGAGCGUUGUCCGGAGUUACUGGCGUAAAGCGCGCGCAGGCGGCUCGGCAAGCAUGGCGUGAAAGCCCCCGGCUCAACCGGGGAGAGUCGUCGUGGACUGCCGGGCUUGAGGGCGGUAGGGGUUGGUGGAAUUCCCGGUGUAGUGGUGAAAUGCGUAGAGAUCGGGAGGAACACCCGUGGCGAAGGCGGCCAACUGGGCCGACCCUGACGCUGAGGCGCGAAGGCGUGGGGAGCGAACGGG